AUGUAAACUACCAUCACCUAUUAACAAUGGAAAAAUAGAUUAUCAAAGUGCUACAGACAAUGAAGUACCAGAAGGAUUUAUUUUAACAUUCAGUUGUGAUAGACUAUAUCAUUUAAUUGGUAAUAAAACUAUAAGAUGUCUUGAAAGUGGUAAUUGGAAUAGUUUACCUCCAAAAUGUAUAAAAGUAACAGCCUGUGAAGAACCACCUAAACCAGCUCAUGGUAUAAAAGAGAUAUCAUACUCUCAAUCUGUUGCUAUUAGUAGAAUUGCAGUUAUAAAUUCUGAUUUAGCAACAGAUCUUCCUCCAACACAUCUUUCAGAGCCUAAGAAUAGCAAUACAGAAGAUGCAUUACCUGCUGGAUUGUAUAAAGUUGGUACUCGUGUUAAAUACAGUUGUGAAUCUAGAUAUUAUCAAUUAGUUGGAUCACAAUCUCGAAGAUGUACAAAAGAUGGCACUUGGACUGGAAGGAUAGCAUCAUGUAUUCCAG